AUGCUGGGGACCCUCUGCACUCUCAUCACUGCUCUAACAUGUGUGAGUGGUGUGACGGUGGUGACACAGAAGCCUCCUGUUGUGACAGUGAGGAAAGGAGAGACAGCCACCAUGGACUGUAACCUGGGGACUGUUAUUAGCACUGCUUACUGGUAUAAACAGAUUCCAGGAGGAGUUCCUCAGUAUAUGCUGAGGUUUUAUCAUAGUUGGAGCUCUGUAGAGUAUGGCUCUGGAUUCUCCUCUCCCAAAUUCACAUCUAAUCAUCAGUCAACAUCAGAUUAUCGACUGAUCAUCAACAAUGUGGAGGAGGGAGACUCAGCAGUCUAUUACUGUCAAACAUAUGACAGCUCUUCUCACACGUCAGUUGACAGUGGAGCUAUUGAACAGUACUUUGUGUAA